rnacentral:rRNA from 1 species
CAGGUAGGUGGUCUGUUAAGUCUUCUGUGAAAAUCCGGGGCUCAACCCCGCGAAAUGCAGGUGAAACUGGCAGACUGGAGACCGGUAGAGGCUAGCGGAAUUCCUGGUGUAGCGGUGGAAUGCGUAAAUAUCAGGAAGAACACCUGUGGCGAAGGCGGCUAGCUGGGCCGGUUCUGACACUAAACUGCGAAAGCGUGGGAAGCAAACA